UUAAGUUAUUAAGGGCGCACGGUGGAUGCCUUGGCACUAGAAGCCGAUGAAGGACGUUACUAACGACGAUAUGCUUUGGGGAGCUGUAAGUAAGCUUUGAUCCAGAGAUUUCCGAAUGGGGAAACCCAGCAUGAGUUAUGUCAUGUUAUCGAUAUGUGAAUACAUAGCAUAUCAGAAGGCACACCCGGAGAACUGAAACAUCUUAGUACCCGGAGGAAGAGAAAGAAAAUUCGAUUCCCUUAGUAGCGGCGAGCGAAACGGGAAGAGCCCAAACCAACAAGCUUGCUUGUUGGGGUUGUAGGACACUCUAUACGGAGUUACAAAGGACGACAUUAGACGAAUCAUCUGGAAAGAUGAAUCAAAGAAGGUAAUAAUCCUGUAGUCGAAAAUGUUGUCUCUCUUGAGUGGAUCCUGAGUACGACGGAGCACGUGAAAUUCCGUCGGAAUCUGGGAGGACCAUCUCCUAAGGCUAAAUACUCUCUAGUGACCGAUAGUGAACCAGUACCGUGAGGGAAAGGUGAAAAGCACCCCGGAAGGGGAGUGAAAUAGAACCUGAAACCGUGUGCUUACAAGUAGUCAGAGCCCGUUAAUGGGUGAUGGCGUGCCUUUUGUAGAAUGAACCGGCGAGUUACGAUUUGAUGCAAGGUUAAGCAGUAAAUGUGGAGCCGUAGCGAAAGCGAGUCUGAAUAGGGCGUUUAGUAUUUGGUCGUAGACCCGAAACCAGGUGAUCUACCCUUGGUCAGGUUGAAGUUCAGGUAACACUGAAUGGAGGACCGAACCGACUUACGUUGAAAAGUGAGCGGAUGAACUGAGGGUAGCGGAGAAAUUCCAAUCGAACCUGGAGAUAGCUGGUUCUCUCCGAAAUAGCUUUAGGGCUAGCCUCAAGUGAUGAUUAUUGGAGGUAGAGCACUGUUUGGACGAGGGGCCCCUCUCGGGUUACCGAAUUCAGACAAACUCCGAAUGCCAAUUAAUUUAACUUGGGAGUCAGAACAUGGGUGAUAAGGUCCGUGUUCGAAAGGGAAACAGCCCAGACCACCAGCUAAGGUCCCAAAAUAUAUGUUAAGUGGAAAAGGAUGUGGCGUUGCCCAGACAACUAGGAUGUUGGCUUAGAAGCAGCCAUCAUUUAAAGAGUGCGUAAUAGCUCACUAGUCGAGUGACACUGCGCCGAAAAUGUACCGGGGCUAAACAUAUUACCGAAGCUGUGGAUUGUCCUUUGGACAAUGGUAGGAGAGCGUUCUAAGGGCGUUGAAGCAUGAUCGUAAGGACAUGUGGAGCGCUUAGAAGUGAGAAUGUCGGUGUGAGUAGCGAAAGACGGGUGAGAAUCCCGUCCACCGAUUGACUAAGGUUUCCAGAGGAAGGCUCGUCCGCUCUGGGUUAGUCGGGUCCUAAGCUGAGGCCGACAGGCGUAGGCGAUGGAUAACAGGUUGAUAUUCCUGUACCACCUAUAAUCGUUUUAAUCGAUGGGGGGACGCAGUAGGAUAGGCGAAGCGUGCGAUUGGAUUGCACGUCUAAGCAGUAAGGCUGAGUAUUAGGCAAAUCCGGUACUCGUUAAGGCUGAGCUGUGAUGGGGAGAAGACAUUGAGUCUUCGAGUCGUUGAUUUCACACUGCCGAGAAAAGCCUCUAGAUAGAAAAUAGGUGCCCGUACCGCAAACCGACACAGGUAGUCAAGAUGAGAAUUCUAAGGUGAGCGAGCGAACUCUCGUUAAGGAACUCGGCAAAAUGACCCCGUAACUUCGGGAGAAGGGGUGCUCUUUAGGGUUAACGCCCAGAAGAGCCGCAGUGAAUAGGCCCAAGCGACUGUUUAUCAAAAACACAGGUCUCUGCUAAACCGUAAGGUGAUGUAUAGGGGCUGACGCCUGCCCGGUGCUGGAAGGUUAAGAGGAGUGGUUAGCUUCUGCGAAGCUACGAAUCGAAGCCCCAGUAAACGGCGGCCGUAACUAUAACGGUCCUAAGGUAGCGAAAUUCCUUGUCGGGUAAGUUCCGACCCGCACGAAAGGCGUAACGAUUUGGGCACUGUCUCAACGAGAGACUCGGUGAAAUCAUAGUACCUGUGAAGAUGCAGGUUACCCGCGACAGGACGGAAAGACCCCGUGGAGCUUUACUGUAGCCUGAUAUUGAAAUUCGGCACAGCUUGUACAGGAUAGGUAGGAGCCUUUGAAACGUGAGCGCUAGCUUACGUGGAGGCGCUGGUGGGAUACUACCCUAGCUGUGUUGGCUUUCUAACCCGCACCACUUAUCGUGGUGGGAGACAGUGUCAGGCGGGCAGUUUGACUGGGGCGGUCGCCUCCUAAAAGGUAACGGAGGCGCUCAAAGGUUCCCUCAGAAUGGUUGGAAAUCAUUCAUAGAGUGUAAAGGCAUAAGGGAGCUUGACUGCGAGACCUACAAGUCGAGCAGGGUCGAAAGACGGACUUAGUGAUCCGGUGGUUCCGCAUGGAAGGGCCAUCGCUCAACGGAUAAAAGCUACCCCGGGGAUAACAGGCUUAUCUCCCCCAAGAGUUCACAUCGACGGGGAGGUUUGGCACCUCGAUGUCGGCUCAUCGCAUCCUGGGGCUGUAGUCGGUCCCAAGGGUUGGGCUGUUCGCCCAUUAAAGCGGUACGCGAGCUGGGUUCAGAACGUCGUGAGACAGUUCGGUCCCUAUCCGUCGUGGGCGUAGGAAAUUUGAGAGGAGCUGUCCUUAGUACGAGAGGACCGGGAUGGACAUACCUCUGGUGUACCAGUUGUCGUGCCAACGGCAUAGCUGGGUAGCUAUGUGUGGACGGGAUAAGUGCUGAAAGCAUCUAAGCAUGAAGCCCCCCUCAAGAUGAGAUUUCCCAACUUCGGUUAUAAGAUCCCUCAAAGAUGAUGAGGUUAAUAGGUUCGAGGUGGAAGCAUGGUGACAUGUGGAGCUGACGAAUACUAAUCGAUCGAAGACUUAAUCAA
rnacentral:rRNA from 1 species